CAAGAAGGCCUAGGCUUCAAGGUAUGC
rnacentral:piRNA from 1 species